CACCGCGGUUAUACGAGAGGCUCAAGUUGACAGACAACGGCGUAAAGAGUGGUUAAGGAAAACACUUGACUAAAGCGGAACACCCUCACAGCUGUUAUACGCUUCCGAGGGCAUGAACCCCAACUACGAAGGUGGCUUUACAUAACCUGAACCCACGAAAGCUAAGAAA
rnacentral:rRNA from 1 species